rnacentral:lncRNA from 10 species
CUGGAGAAUAUAACUGAGUCACAACUCUACUUUUAUGAGAUCAGGGAAGAAUAAAAACUUUAUUUACCUACAUGGUUGCCUGCGGUUCCUAAAAUGAAGCAGAGCUCUAAGACUUUCAGAUUUGGUGUCAGAAGUGAGGAUCCCAAGUAAGAGUCCUGUGACCCCCCCUGCCAGGAAUACCAGGCAACAAGAAACCAGAGAUUGGGUCUUCCGGAAACCACAUCAGAAGAAGACUGCCUUUGAACCCCAUUGGAAGGGGUUAUACCAAGUUAUUCUCACUACUUACUUGAAGUACUUACUUGAAAUAAGACUUCAAGGCUUCAAACUUUGGAACCACAUCUCACAACUCAAAAAGGUACCUUCAGACUUUUGGAACUGUAUGUCUAUUGGAAAAUUUAAGGUAAAGCUGGCCAGAAAAAUUUUCCAGAAGCAAAUAGUAUCCUCAAUGUGGACAGCUUUCCCAAGAUUAUGGAUCAACACUUCUCUGUGAUUAGAAAAGCUUAUCCUUUUCUUCUUUUCUUUCUCAUUUCCUUCUGUCCUAAUCCUUUCCUUUUCCUUACAGGAAAAUCCAUGGAGCCAUAAUCAGUGAAUGGCUUUAGCUAUAGCUUAUGCUAUAGUACAAAAUACAGAGCAAUCAUUGGGUUUGUGGGCUAAUAUCAAAACAAACAAACAACAACAACAACAAAAAACAGGAAACAUUUCCAUCAGUGCCAAUACCUCUCCAUCUUCCCAAUGAGAGUAAUGCUGAAAUUCCACAGGAAGAUAGCUGAAAGCUAUCUUUGCUGUUCUAAACAUCACUGUUACUUGCUUUCUAUACUCACUAGAACCAACACUCUAACCUUUCCAAUUAACCUGAUGGUUACCAAAUGUAGAAAACCUAUCUGAGUGGUGCGUGCAAAAGAUAUACUGUGCUUCCAGACAUCAUGCACUCAAGACCUUGGAAUUACUUAUGUGGGUACAAGUAAUUGUAUAAUGUCACUGGAUUAAAUUCAAUAGAAUCUUUUUUCAUUAAAUGUGAUUAUAUUCCCUUACAGUAUGUUAUAAAGGGGCCACCAAAAAGUAAAUUUUCCACUGGACCUUGUUGGAAGCUAUCAAAUUUGACUGACCUCUGCUCAAACACAAUUAGGUGGCCCUCUUUCCAACCCCCAAAGGCCUAUAUCAGAUCUUCAGAAAAUCUGCUUGUUCUGUUCUGUCUCCUUGCUUGUUUGGAUCUUGCUAUUUGGCGUAGCUCACUCCUGCCUGUCAAAUUCAUUCCCCUGGAAGUCUCCAUAAUAGCUCCUAUAAUCAGAGGCUAAAAUGGUCAAUAACCAAAAUUAUCAUCAACCUUCAAACAGACAAAGUUAAGCUAGUUUCCACUGAGGAAAGAUUCCAGUGGGGUAUCUGGGGGCUCACUCUUGGUGGUAGUGGAGUACUGAUUGUAUGGAAUUUGAAGCUAAUCUAUAAAUUGGAGAAAAUCUUCAAGUUUGUGGUCAAUCAGAUCUCCCAGGGCUUCAGACAUGUAGAAGCCACUCUCUAAAAGGUGAAUAAUAACAUACAUGUUCAAUAAACACCACGCAAUAAAAUAUCAUAAAGCUUUAAAUCUCCUUUUUCCUUCAAUUUGGG